rnacentral:rRNA from 1 species
AUACGUAGGGGGCAAGCGUUAUCCGGAAUUAUUGGGCGUAAAGCGUGCGUAGGCGGUUUCUUAAGUCUGAUGUUAAAGCCCACAGCUCAACCGUGGGGGGCCAUUGGAAACUGGGAGACUUGAGUGCGGAAGAGGUAAGUGGAAUUCCAUGUGGAGCGGUGAAAUGCGCAGAGAUUUGGAGGAACACCAGUGGCGAAGGCGACUUUCUGGUCUGUAACUGACGCUGAUGUGCGAAAGCGUGGGGAUCAAACAGGAUUAGAUACCCUGGUAGUCCACGCCGUAAACGAUGAGUGCUAAGUGUUAGGGGGUUUCCGCCCCUUAGUGCUGCAGCUAACGCAUUAAGCACUCCGCCUGGGGAGUACGACCGCAAGGUUGAAACUCAAAGGAAUUGACGGGG